GAUGAACGCUGGCGGCGUGCCUAAUACAUGCAAGUCGAGCGAACAGACGAGGAGCUUGCUCCUCUGACGUUAGCGGCGGACGGGUGAGUAACACGUGGAUAACCUACCUAUAAGACUGGGAUAACUUCGGGAAACCGGAGCUAAUACCGGAUAAUAUAUUGAACCGCAUGGUUCAAUAGUGAAAGACGGUUGUGCUGUCACUUAUAGAGGGAUCCGCGCCGCAUUAGCUAGUUGGUAAGGUAACGGCUUACCAAGGCGACGAUGCGUAGCCGACCUGAGAGGCUGAUCGGCCACCCUGGAACUGAGACACGCUCCAGACUCCUACGGGAGGCAGCAGUAGGGAAUCUUCCGCAAUGGGCGAAAGCCUGACGGAGCAACGCCGCGUGAGUGAUGAAGGUCUUCGGAUCGUAAAACUCUGUUAUUAGGGAAGAACAAAUGUGUAAGUAACUAUGCACGUCUUGACGGUACCUAAUCAGAAAGCCACGGCUAACUACGUG
rnacentral:rRNA from 1 species